UUUUAAUGGGGGAAGGGGGGGAAGACGUCAAAUCAUCAUGCCCCUUAUGACCUGGGCUACACACGUGCUACAAUGGACGGUACAAAGAGCUGCAAGGCCGCGAGGUGGAGCUAAUUUUAUAAAACCGUUUUCAGUUUGGAUUGUAGGGUGCAACUUGCCUACAUGAAGCUGGAAUCGGUAGUAAUCGCGGAUCAGCAUGCCGCGGUGAAUACGUUCCCGGGCCUUGUACACACCGCCCGUCACACCCCGAGAGUUUGUAACACCCGAAGUCGGUGGGGUAACCUUUUUGGAGCCAGCCGCCUAAGGUGGGACAGAUGAUGGGUGAAGUCGAACAUGGAAACGCAGGG
rnacentral:rRNA from 1 species